rnacentral:rRNA from 1 species
GAUCAACGCUGGCGGCGUGCAUGAGACAUGCAAGUCGAACGAAGGAUCGGGCUUGCUCGAUCCUUAGUGGCGGACGGCUGAGUAACGCGUAGGUGACCUACCCCGAAGUGGGGAAUAACUGCCCGAAAGGGUGGCUAAUACCGCAUGUGGUCGCACGUUCAUUCGUGCGAGUAAAGCCGCAAGGCGCUUCGGGAGGGGCCUGCGUCCGAUUAGCUCGUUGGUGGGGUAAUGGCUUACCAAGGCGACGAUCGGUAGGUGGUCUGAGAGGACGAUCACCCAGACUGGGACUGAGACACGGCCCAGACUCCUACGGGAGGCAGCAGUCGGGAAUUUUGCUCCAUGGGGGAAACCCUGAAGCAGCAACGCCGCGUGAGGGAUGAAGGCCUUCGGGUUGUAAACCUCUUUUGUCAGGGACGAUGAUGACGGUACCUGGCGAAUAGGCCACGGCUAACUACGUG